CCUACGGGAGGCAGCAGUGAGGAAUAUUGGUCAAUGGACGCAAGUCUGAACCAGCCAUGCCGCGUGCAGGAAGACGGCUCUAUGAGUUGUAAACUUCUUUUGUACGAGGAUAAACGCAGAUACGCGUAUCUGUCUGCAAGUAUCUUACGAAUAAGGAUCGGCUAACUCCGUGCCAGCAGCCGCGGUAAUACGGAGGAUGCAAGCGUUAUCCGGAUUUAUUGGGUUUAAAGGGGGCGUAGGCGGUCGGUUAAGUUAGUGGUGAAAUCCCGAGGCUCAACCUCGGAAUUGCCUUUGAUACUGGUCGGCUCGAGGGUAGUUGCGGUAGGCGGAAUGUAUGGUGUAGCGGUGAAAUGCUUAGAGAUCAUACAGAACACCGAUUGCGAAGGCAGCUUACCAAGCUACUACUGACGUUGAGGCACGAAAGCGUGGGGAGCAAACAGGAUUAGAUACCCUGGUAGUC
rnacentral:rRNA from 1 species